CGAACGAAGCAGAAGGAUGCUUGCAUCUUUUUGACUGAGUGGCGGACGGGUGAGUAACGUGUGGAGAACCUACCUUACACAGGGGGAUAACGGCUGGAAACGGCUGCUAAUACCGCAUAAGCAUACAGCUUCGCAUGAAGCCGUGUGAAAAGAAGUAUCGGUGUAAGAUGGCUCCGCAUCUGAUUAGCUAGUUGGUGAGGUAAUGGCUCACCAAGGCAACGAUCAGUAGCCGGCCUGAGAGGGCGACCGGCCACAUUGGGACUGAGACACGGCCCAGACUCCUACGGGAGGCAGCAGUGGGGAAUCUUGCACAAUGGGGGAAACCCUGAUGCAGCAACGCCGCGUGAGCGAAGAAGUAUUUCGGUAUGUAAAGCUCUAUCAGCAGGGAAUAGAAAAGAAGGUACCUGACUAAGAAGCCCCGGCUAACUACGUGCCAGCAGCCGCGGUAAUACGUAGGGGGCAAGCGUUAUCCGGAUUUACUGGGUGUAAAGGGAGCGUAGACGGCUGUUUAAGUCAGAAGUGAAAGCCCAUUGCUUAACGAUGGGACUGCUUUUGAAACUAAAGAGCUAGAGUGCAGGAGAGGUAAGUGGAAUUCCUAGUGUAGCGGUGAAAUGCGUAGAGAUUAGGAGGAACACCAGUGGCGAAGGCGGCUUACUGGACUGUAACUGACGUUGAGGCUCGAAAGCGUGGGGAGCUAAAAGGAUUAGAUACCCUGGUAGUCCACGCGGUA
rnacentral:rRNA from 1 species